rnacentral:tRNA from 1 species
GCCGAGGUAGCUCAUUCGGUAGAGCAGGUGAUUCGUAAUCACCAGGUAGCGGGUUCAAUUCCCGCCCUCGGCUCCA